UACGGGAAGGCAGCAGUGGGGAAUAUUGCACAAUGGGCGAAAGCCUGAUGCAGCUAUGCCGCGUGUAUGAAGAAGGCCUUAGGGUUGUAAAGUACUUUCAUCGGGGAGGAAAAACAAAACUAAUAAUUUUAUUUCUUGACGUUACCCGAAAAAGAAGCACCGGCUAACUCCGUGCCAGCAGCCGCGGUAAUACGGAGGGUGCUAGCGUUAAUCAGAAUUACUGGGCGUAAAGAGCACGUAGGUGGUUUUUUUAAGUCAGAUGUGAAAUCCCUGGGCUUAACCUGGAACUGCAUUUUGAAACUGAAAUACUAGAGUAUCGUAGAGGGAGGUAGAAUUCUAGGUGUAGCGGUGAAAUGCGUAGAUAUCUGGAGGAAUACCUGUGGCGAAAGCGGCCUCCUAAACGAAUACUGACACUGAGGUGCGAAAGCGUGGGGAGCAAACAGGGAUUAGAUACC
rnacentral:rRNA from 1 species